AGAAAUAUCGCCAUUCGUUGACACCUCAAUUAAUACGAGCAACACCAAGAUGCUGCAAUGUAGAAUGAUCAUACACUGUUGAACUCAUACACGACUUUCGUUUUGCAACCUGUUUUCUAUCGCCGGCUAAUCGCUACGAAAGUUCUCAGAUAGCACAUAGAAUUCAAAGAGAAUUUAAAAAAUUCAGUUAUAUGUCGCCAAUUCUGAGUUCAUUUUCAGAUGCAAAAAGAAUUCUUCAGAGUUCAAUUCAGUGAAAAGAAUUCUUUUUGCAUCUAAAAAUAAACUCAGAUUUGGUGUCAUACGAUUGAAUUCUUUUAGAAUUAUCUGUGCUAUCUUGACACCGAGUCUCCCUAGUGAUUUGCGAUUCUUUUUACGAUAUUGUGGAGCCGAGAUUGAACAUCAAGCUGGGGUUAAUUAUUAUAAAAUAAUGUAUAGUAUUGAUAUGAUACAAGGGAUAUGUUACGUGGUAUUGCACGCGCGAUGAUCGUACUGAGGAUCGUCUCGAGCAGCGGCAACGUGACCUCAAGCAGGAUCUGCCAGAGUUUAUAGCCAUUUGCUGGACGCGGUUCCCGGAGGAUACAAUUUCGAUGGACACCGGAAGUGUGUGAUGUGACGUACAUACCGGAAGAUUUAGUUCGGGUCGAGAAGAAUCGAAGAUUUUAAGUACCAGCAGAACUUGGUUGAUUAUAAGCUCCUGGUAUUUCAGUCAGUUCAAAAAAAUCAACAAAACAAGUACGAACAAAUAAAGGAGAAAGAUGGAUAAACGUACAAGAUCAGUGCAUUAUUAUUAGUAUUCAUAUUAUUAAUUCUGUACAAAUAUUAGUUUAUCAUUUCACAGAAAUUAUAUCGUGAUCGUUUUAGUUCCUUUAUUGAUAUUAUAAUUGCGCGUGGAAUAAGCCAGUAUAGAUUAAAAGAAUAUGUUUGCAAACAGCUUCCAGACAAACAUAAAGAUAAUGGAUAUAAACACGAUCUUUGUCACUUGAUGUAUCCAGAAUAAUCUGAAAUUCAUAAUAUUAUUUUAAGUGCAAAAGUAAGAUUUCACAAUUAGAAUGCUUUUUAUAUUGCACACUUGUAUUUCAUAACAAUCGUCAAUGAUUCCAUACAUUUCAAUUUGAAUUAAUCCUAAAAUGAUCAGCGAGAUCAAAUGGAAUUCAAAACCAUGUUUAAAGUCCGACCAACUUUUUUUACGUUACUUUUUGGGAGCUGUAAUUGUUUGUGGGAGUAAUUUCUUGACUUUUCUUACUUUGGUAAACUGACCAGAGUAGCAAAAGUUUAGGAUUCUAUAAGAAGGGCUGGAAGUGAUGGAAAGAAAGCAACGUCAAAGGCCAUUGGAGUCUUUUGAGCCGCAAAGAGUCAAAAACUUUUCUAAGAUUAUUUUUUCACAUUGGAAAUUGAACUAUUGUUUAGGUACAUUCAUUAAAUUUUAGCUAAGAAAUUAUGUGCAUACAUUUGUGCUUUGUUAUGUUUUGUAUAUGCAUUUUGUGUGCAAUGGCUCUGGAUGGCCAUUAAAUAGAAUAUUUAUAUGUACUGUAUUGCACUGUAUUGCACUUAUAUCGCACUGAAUAAUUUUUUGAUGAAUUUAGAUCACGUGUAUAUGUCAUUAUGUACAUGUCAUGAAUACAUUUAUUUUUUUACAAUUAUCUUAUCUCUCUCGCGAUAGCACACAUACAUUUAUUUUAAACUGAAAUAUUACACAUAUAUUCACAUUUGAUCUUUUCCACAAUAUAUUUCUAUAUCAUGUAGCUCUGUAUCGUGGUGCUUGUAUAUAAUACAUGAGUUAAUAUUAUGUCUAUACGUAACAUUAAAUGCGACGUUCAUGCGAGUAUUUUCGUGACCAGCCUCCAGAUGAACCAAAGAACGGCGAAUGUGAAUAUCAUUCUCACCGCUUGAUGUAUCCAAUAAAGUCUGCAAUUUGUUUGUUUCAUUAACUGUCAACUAACUUCGCACUGCUUUAAAUAUUCAUACUUAUAUAAUUUUUUGCUCCAUGAUUGAUAUGCUAAAGAUUAAUAUGCUAUAUAUGCCGCGCGCGUGUGUGAUAUAUACAAAUUCAUAAUUAUCAUAUUUUAUCGGAUUGACAUCAUCACCUUUUCCAUCGGAUGCGACUGGCUUCCAAAGAGCUGAUGUCGUCUUUGAGCAAAUAAAUGCGUAGACCUUUAAUAUGAUUGUCCAAGUAUUUCGGCCAGUCGAAACCCUUCAUGUUGAAGUUCAGCAAACGCUGAUCCUCCUUGCUUAAACGAUGCCACAUCGCAUGAAUGUUGUCGUUCGUGUAAGUCCAUUCCCUGGUCGUAAAGUAGUGAAUGACAUUGGAAAAAUUGUGGAUCUUCUUGUAGAACGUCCAUAUGCUGUAAAGAAGCGAAGAAUGAAUAUGAUUUGAAUUUUGGGACACGACAGAGUCCUUGAGAUACCUUUCUCGAACACCUCUGCACGUUUGGACAGCGUCCAUCAAUAAAGCAGGCAACAAACCACGCGGGUUUCCGCGAGUCUCCAUCUUUUCGGAUCAUACCUGUGCGACUGAGUGAAAACAUCCCAAGCAGUGGCGAUUAGAGCGUUC